AAGCUCAAAGGCGAAGCUUUGUUGAGAAACGAUGGCUGUUACGUACGAUCCAAACACACCUUGGCCUUUUGCUGUCUUGGCGAAGUUUAUCGAAGUACGUGAAUACCCAGGCUUUCAUCAGAUAUACAGGAAUGGGCUAACUGGACGUCCUCACUAUGAAACUGACCUCGUUAACAUGGGGCCAAUAACUAAUUAUUGGACUUGCCGCGUCUUCAUGUUGAGAGUUGACAUGGAAUCGUGAGUACGACUACUUCGAACUCAUAUUGAACGCUAAUGGACCGUCGCAAAGAUCAUACAUUUAUUAUUGGAGGAUGCCAAA